rnacentral:rRNA from 1 species
AGUUCUUUUAUUAGGGAAGAAAAGAUGGUGGAAAAACCAUUAUGACGGUACCUAAUGAAUAAGCCCCGGCUAACUAUGUGCCAGCAGCCGCGGUAAUACAUAGGGGGCAAGCGUUAUCCGGAAUUAUUGGGCGUAAAGGGUGCGUAGGCGGUUAAAUAAGUUUAUGGUCUAAGUGCAACGCUCAACGUUGUGAUGCUAUAAAAACUGUUUAGCUAGAGUUGGAUAGAGGCAAGUGGAAUUCCGUGUGUAGUGGUAAAAUGCGUAAAUAUACGGAGGAACACCAGAAGCGAAGGCGGCUUGCUGGGUCUUAACUGACGCUGAGGCACGAAAGCGUGGGGAGCAAACAGGAUUAGAUACCCUGGUAGUCCACGCCCUAAACGAUGAGUACUAAACGUUGGAUAAAACCAGUGUUGAAGUUAACACAUUAAGUACUCCGCCUGAGUAGUACGUACGCAAGUAUGAAACUUAAAGGAAUUGACGGGACUCCGCACAAGCGGUGGGUCAUGUUGUUUAAUUCGAAGGUACCCGAAAAACCUCACCAGGUCUUGACAUGCUUUUGCAAAGCUGUAGAAAUACAGUGGAGGUUAUCAGAAGCACAGGUGGUGCAUGGUUGUCGUCAGCUCGUGUCGUGAGAUGUUGGGUUAAGUCCCGCAACGAGCGCAACCCUUGUUGUUAAUUGCCAUCAUUAAGUUGGGGACUUUAGCAAGACUGCCAAUGAUAAAUUGGAGGAAGGUGGGGACGACGUCAAAUCAUCAUGCCCC